AACGAACGCUGGCGGCAUGCCUAACACAUGCAAGUCGAACGAGACCUUCGGGUCUAGUGGCGCACGGGUGCGUAACGCGUGGGAAUCUGCCCUUGGGUUCGGAAUAACAGUUAGAAAUGACUGCUAAUACCGGAUGAUGUCUUCGGACCAAAGAUUUAUCGCCCAAGGAUGAGCCCGCGUAGGAUUAGGUAGUUGGUGGGGUAAUAGCUUACCAAGGCGACGAUCAGUAGCUGGUCUGAGAGGAUGAUCAGCCACACUGGGACUGAGACACGGCCCAGACUCCUACGGGAGGCAGCAGUGGGGGAUUUUCCGCAAUGGGCGAAAGCCUGACGGAGCAAUGCCGCGUGGAGGAAGAAAGCCCAUGGGUUGUAAACUCCUUUUAUCAGAGAAGAAACAAUGACGGUAUCUGAAGAAUAAGCAUCGGCUAACUCUGUG
rnacentral:rRNA from 1 species